GGAGAGGUGGCUGAGUGGUCGAAAGCGGCUUCCUGCUAAGAAGUUGAACGGUCUUUAAAACUGUUCCGAGGGUUCGAAUCCCUCCCUCUCCG
rnacentral:tRNA from 2 species